UGGGGAAUAUUGCACAAUGGGCGAAAGCCUGAUGCAGCAACGCCGCGUGAGUGAUGAAGGUCUUCGGAUUGUAAAGCUCUGUCUUUUGGGGCGAUAAUGACGGUACCAAAGGAGGAAGCCACGGCUAACUACGUGCCAGCAGCCGCGGUAAUACGUAGGUGGCGAGCGUUGUCCGGAUUUACUGGGCGUAAAGGGUGCGUAGGCGGAUGUUUAAGUGAGAUGUGAAAUACCCGGGCUUAACUUGGGUGCUGCAUUUCAAACUGGAUAUCUAGAGUGCAGGAGAGGAGAAUGGAAUUCCUAGUGUAGCGGUGAAAUGCGUAGAGAUUAGGAAGAACACCAGUGGCGAAGGCGAUUCUCUGGACUGUAACUGACGCUGAGGCACGAAAGCGUGGGUAGCAAACAGGAUUAGAUACCCUGGUAGUCCACGCCGUAAAACGAUGAGUACUAGGUGUAGGAGGUAUCGACCCCUUCUGUGCCGCAGUAAACACAUUAAGUACUCCGCCUGGGAAGUACGAUCG
rnacentral:rRNA from 1 species